ensembl:lncRNA novel transcript
ACAAAACAAAAGGGUAAGGAAGAGGCAGGGCCCCCUCUCAACCAAAGUCCAGAAGCCCUCUGAAGUUCCAAAGACAACCUGGAAGGGAAAAGGGACCCUUCGAGAAAGUUCCAGGAAAAAAACCACUCCCAAAAAGACUACCACUUCAAGAAAACCUGAGGAAGGGAACGGGCCAACACUAUCCAGCCACUAUGACCAGCUGAAUAGGAAACUCACUCAAAAUGAGCCAUAGCAGGACCGAGUUAGCCAGGAGACCUCCACAAUCUCCAGCGUCUCCCUGGACAGCCAGUAAUUUCAAGGCAAGUUCAGAGGCCUAGAUCUAUCUGAGAGGUCUCCAGAGAUCUGACCCCAAAGAACUAGCUAGCAGGGUCUAGGAUACAUUCUAUACCCCACAGGGUACGCCCCAUGGUGAUGAAAAUAAAAUGAAUCUGUUGU